UACGGGGGGGGUAAGCGUUGUUCGGAAUUACUGGGCGUAAAGGGCUCGUAGGCGGCCAACUAAGUCAGACGUGAAAUCCCUCAGCUUAACUGGGGAACUGCGUCUGAUACUGGAUGGCUUGGAUUCGGGAGAGGAAUGCGGAAUUCCAGGUGUAGCGGUGAAAUGCGUAGAGAUCAGGAAGAACACCGGUGGCGAAAGCGCUCUGCUAGGCCGCAACUGACACUGAGGGACGAAAGCUAGGGGAGCGAAUGGG
rnacentral:rRNA from 1 species